rnacentral:rRNA from 1 species
ACUGCUCAGUAACACGUGGACAACCUGCCCUUAGGUUGGGUAUAAACCCGGGAAACUGGGUAUAAUACCCGAUAGGUCUCGAUUGCUGGAAUGCAUCGAGAUCUAAAGCUCCGGCGCCUAAGGAUGGGUCUGCGGCCUAUCAGGUAGUAGUGGGUGUAGCGUACCUACUAGCCUACGACGGGUACGGGUUGUGAGAGCAAGAGCCCGGAGAUGGAUUCUGAGACACGAAUCCAGGCCCUACGGGGUGCAGCAGGCGCGAAAACUUUACAAUGCUGGCAACAGCGAUAAGGGAACCUCGAGUGCCAGGUUACAAAUCUGGCUGUCGAGAUGCCUAAAAAGCAUUUCAUAGCAAGGGCCGGGCAAGACCGGUGCCAGCCGCCGCGGUAACACCGGCGGCUCGAGUGGUAACCGUUAUUAUUGGGUCUAAAGGGUCUGUAGCCGGCCGGAUAAGUCUCUUGAGAAAUCUGGCAGCUUAACUGUCAGGCUUUCAGGAGAUACUGUCUGGCUCGAGGCCGGGAGAGGUGAGAGGUACUUCAGGGGUAGGGGUGAAAUCUUGUAAUCCUUGAAGGACCACCAGUGGCGAAGGCGUCUCACCAGAACGGACCUGACGGCAAGGGACGAAAGCUAGGGGCACGAACCGGAUUAGAUACCCGGGUAGUCCUAGCCGUAAACGAUACUCGCUAGGUGUCGGCCACGGUGCGACCGUUGUCGGUGCCGUAGGGAAGCCGUGAAGCGAGCCACCUGGGAAGUACGGCCGCAAGGCUGAAACUUAAAGGAAUUGGCGGGGGAGCAC